rnacentral:rRNA from 1 species
GGCAGGAGCAAGGUGGGAUGACAGGAGAUCCUGCCCCGGCACUUCGCCCAAUAGCAGCCAGUCCCUUCCCGCUUCAGUGACAACGUCGAGCACAGCUGCGCAAGGAACGCCCGUCGUGGCCAGCCACGAUAGCCGCGCUGCCUCGUCCUGCAGUUCAUUCAGGGCACCGGACAGGUCGGUCUUGACAAAAAGAACCGGGCGCCCCUGCGCUGACAGCCGGAACACGGCGGCAUCAGAGCAGCCGAUUGUCUGUUGUGCCCAGUCAUAGCCGAAUAGCCUCUCCACCCAAGCGGCCGGAGAACCUGCGUGCAAUCCAUCUUGUUCAAUCAUGCGAAACGAUCCUCAUCCUGUCUCUUGAUCAGAUCUUGAUCCCCUGCGCCAUCAGAUCCUUGGCGGCAAGAAAGCCAUCCAGUUUACUUUGCAGGGCUUCCCAACCUUACCAGAGGGCGCCCCAGCUGGCAAUUCCGGUUCGCUUGCUGUCCAUAAAACCGCCCAGUCUAGCUAUCGCCAUGUAAGCCCACUGCAAGCUACCUGCUUUCUCUUUGCGCUUGCGUUUUCCCUUGUCCAGAUAGCCCAGUAGCUGACAUUCAUCCGGGGUCAGCACCGUUUCUGCGGACUGGCUUUCUACGUGUUCCGCUUCCUUUAGCAGCCCUUGCGCCCUGAAUUUUGUUAAAAUUCGCGUUAAAUUUUUGUUAAAUCAGCUCAUUUUUUAACCAAUAGGCCGAAAUCGGCAAAAUCCCUUAUAAAUCAAAAGAAUAGACCGAGAUAGGGUUGAGUGUUGUUCCAGUUUGAAC